rnacentral:rRNA from 1 species
GAUGAACGCUGGCGGUGUGCCUAACACAUGCAAGUCGAACGACCACACAAGGAGAUCGUUCUCUUACCGUUAGCGGCGGACGGGCGAGUAAGAAGUGCAUCACAUUCUACUAUUUCUGGGGUAAUAACGGGAAAACGCUGACACUAAUGGCGCAUACAACCUACCGGUUGGAUCACUAGUGCUUCACGCCUUUCGCGAUUCAUUUAGCCGGUUUCGCGCCGCAUUAGCUAGUUGGUAAGGUAACGGCUUACCAAGGCGACGAUGCGUAGCUGACCUGAGAGGAUGAUCAGCCACACUGGAACUGAGACACGGUCCAGACUCCUACGGGAGGCAGCAGUGGGGAAUCUUCCACAAUGGGCGAAAGCCUGACGGAGCAACGCCGCGUGAGUGAAGAAGGUCUUCGGGUCGUAAAGCUCUUUUGUUGGGAAAGAACAAAAGUAGGUGAAUCUAUGCACGUCUUGACGGUACCUAAACAAAAAGCCACGGCUAACUUCGUG